rnacentral:lncRNA from 1 species
CCUCUCCUUCCUUCCUUCUCCCCCUGCUUCUCUGUCUCUACCUUUCUCUCUUUCUUCUUUCUCCCUUUUUACUCUAUUGGGACAAAACUCUCCCUUACCAACUGCAGGAAAUCCUGAGGUGAUGGGUCUCUCCAGCUGAAGACCCCAGGGGAUACUGUUGGGCUGACCUGAGCUGGGGGGCGCUGUCGAGCACUCGGAGGAGGAGCAGCAGAAGUCACAGCUGGGGCUGUUGGUGCCUGUCACCCAGGCAGCGAGCUGCGCUGCAGGUAAAAAUAGUCUGCAGGAGUGGAGAGCGCUAGAGCUGCCACCUCGGGAGCGAGCGGUUCUCAGCAUAAACAAAGCAGCAUAUGAGUUUGGCCAGUACAACUUCUGGGUGGAAAGGAAGUUCAGUUUGUCUGCCUUCUUUCUUCAUCUGCAAAAUGGGGAGAAUGAAUUGGAUCCUCGCAGUGCCAGAGGCUUCUAUGAAGAUGGAAUGAGUGGCUGAGAAAGCCUUUUGAGAACCGAGGUGUGGUGUAUUCAUCCAAUGGAUACACUUCCAGAAAGCAAGGAUGACACUCCAAGGACAGUGGCUUUCCAAGAAGGUUAGCAUCUGAAUGGAGAUGUAAAGGAUGAAAGAGGAUGAGCUGUUACAGAAGAGGGACCUCCACCCACCCCGGGAAGCCCUGGACAGACUUAGUGAUAGGAGGCGCUUUCUAGAGGAGUUUGGGAGGUAAGCUUGGCCAGUGAAACAAAGUAAAGUCGCUCAGUCGUGUUCGACUCUUUGCAACCCCAUGGACUGUAGCCCACUGGGCUCCUCUGUCCAUGGAGUUUUCCAGGCAAGAGUACUGGUGUGGGUUGCUAUUUCCUUCUCCAGGGGAUCUUCCUGACCCAGGGAUCGUACCCAGGUCUCCUGCAUUGUAGGCAAAUGCUUUACCAUCUCAGCCACCAGGAGUGGGAUGGGAAUAAACACGCAUAACCCCCCA